UGCAGUCGACGACCUUCGGGUUAGUGGCGGACGGGUGAGUAACGCGUGAGAAUCUGCCCUCAGGAGGGGGAUAACAGUUGGAAACGACUGCUAAUACCCCAUAUGCCGAGAGGUGAAACGAAUUUUGCCUGGGGAUGAGCUCGCGUCUGAUUAGCUUGUUGGUGGGGUAAAAGCCUACCAAGGCUUCGAUCAGUAGCUGGUCUGAGAGGACGAUCAGCCACACUGGGACUGAGAUACGGCCCAGACUCCUACGGGAGGCAGCAGUGGGGAAUUUUCCGCAAUGGGCGCAAGCCUGACGGAGCAACGCCGCGUGAGGGAUGAAGGCCUUUGGGCUGUAAACCUCUUUUCUCAAGGAAGAAGAUCUGACGGUACUUGAGGAAUAAGCCACGGCUAAUUCCGUGCCAGCAGCCGCGGUAAUACGGGAGUGGCAAGCGUUAUCCGGAAUUAUUGGGCGUAAAGCGUCCGCAGGCGGCCGUUUAAGUCUGUUGUUAAAUCGUGGAGCUCAACUCCAUCACGGCAAUGGAAACUGUUCGGCUUGAGUAUGGUAGGGGCAGAGGGAAUUUCCGGUGUAGCGGUGAAAUGCGUAGAUAUCGGGAAGAACACCAGUGGCAAAAGCGCUCUGCUGGGCCAUUACUGACGCUCAUGGACGAAAGCCAGGGGAGCGAAAGGGAUUAGAUACCCCUGUAGUCCUGGCCGUAAACGAUGAACACUAGAUGUUGGGGGAAUCGACCCCUCCGGUGUCGUAGCUAACGCGUUAAGUGUUCCGCCUGGGGAGUACGCACGCAAGUGUGAAACUCAAAGGAUUGACGGGCCCGCACAAGCGGUGG
rnacentral:rRNA from 1 species